rnacentral:misc_RNA from 1 species
GGAAUCAUGAUGGAAUAAGACCUGGUCGACAUCUUUCUAAUAAAUUACUCUUUCAGCAGCUUCAGUCCCAAUUUAAUAACCAGCACGAGCUUCAUGUUUAUACUUUGUUAUCCAAGCAACAAGCCCUUGACCUUAGAGAGGUCAGAGGUGGUAAUGAGAUGAGGCUGAAUUUUCUUUCUGAGAAGCUUGGGGUGAAACUGGUUGGUAGAAAAGGUUUGGGUCCAUCUGUUGAUUCUAUAAUUGCUUCAGUUAAGGCUGAGAGGGGAAGGCGCAAACCGGGUACACUUAAAACUGGUGUCAUGAAGUCAAAAGACACCACUCUCAGGCGAAAAAUAGUUAGGAAGGCUAAAGUUGUAAGCGGAGGCAAUAGAACCACUUCUUUCCCUGCUUCUAGCAGCAGGAUUAAAGCAGUUGGCAGCAGCACUACCACAAUACCUCUGACGAACCUUGACUUGGAACCUAAACCAGUUUGCGCUAUUGGAUCUGCCGCUUCUCCAAGUUUGAAUGUUAGAGUAAAUGACGACAUGGAGUCAAAAUCUGUAGGCAGUUC